UGUCACAGCAGCUGCCUGUGGGCUUGGGUCUGUGGCUUCAUGCCAGCUGCACAUGGGUCAAAAUAAAUGCAGACUGAAAAGCAGGUGUAUUAAGUUGGCAAGGCAUGUACAUCUCCAGGGUAUUUGAUACCCAUGUCUUUUAAACUAAUUAUAGAAAUUUUCAAAAUGCGUAAAGGAAACAGCAGGGUGCACCCAUGUGCUUCAGCAGCUACUGACUCUCAACCAACCUGUCUCAUCCGAGCCCCAUACCCCCACCCCAUCAGUUACUCAGAACAAGUUGUGGUCACCACACCAUCCUCUCCAUGGCUACCUCAGCCCUGCUGGUGUUUCUUAACAUCACCAGGUUUCCUCAGCUGACUGUGUGUUUUUCAUGUCGGCUCAGAAUUUAAAUAAAAAAGAUGCAGUAAGUACAGUAAAAGUGGAAUGAGCCUGUUUCUGUCUAUUCUGGACACCCGGUGCUUACACCCUCUCUGUGCCACCUUAGAGAGUCUGUGCUUCACGAAAUGUGAUCACACCCUCAUGUAAUUUGGAGUCCAGUCAGCUUCUCUUUCAGCAUAAGUUCAGGGGCACGAAGAGGAGAGGCUUUGGGUCAGGGUCGGGAAGAGGAGACCUGUGCGGUGGGAGUGGGGUGUGGACACAGAGUCAGGUUGGGGCUAACCUGGGCCUCACGGCUCUCUGCGAGCUUCUGCAGCCCCACCUCCACAUCAGGACCCAGACAACAGCGCCCCGCCAAGUCUGCUCCUGCCCGUCAGCAUCCUGCACAUGCCUGUUAGAGCAGUUACAGAGACCCUACUCAUCCUGGGUCCCCACAGUAGCCCCGUGAGGAAGACGGUAUGGGGUGUGCACAAUGUCAUCUACACCCUUACUCGUCAGGAUUGCUGGGUGGCAGCCGUUUUGCUCUUCCUCUGUAUUUGCUAAGAAAAUGCCUUCUGAUGUACAUGCCGGCUGAUCCGCGGAGUUCCCACUGGUGGAGGUUUACCUGUAUCUGCCUUUGUGCAAGAACAGUGAUUGCAGUUCUGCUGGGAGAAGACCAUGUGGUGGCCGAGCCCUGCUGGAGCCCUAGAGCACAGGGCAGUGUGCUGCCUUUCAGCGACAGCUCCUUGCAGCUGGACACCAGCCUGCCAUUCCUCCAGAAUCGAGAAGUGUCUCUUCUGCAUACCUCUCAGGUGCAGAGACAGAGAGUGGUGUCUGUCCAUGGUCGGCCUGGGAAGUCCUUCAACCCUGCGCUGGACGGCAGAUAUGUGCUCUGCAUGUGGGAUAUCUGGCAGCCUUCGGGGCCUCAGAAGGUCCUGAUAUUUGAGUCAAAGUUAUGUCUCCAGGAGUCAGCCUUAGCGAGAGGAAGGGCAUGCAGCACGAGGGCCAGUGCCGGGGCAGGCACCAUGAGCCAAGAGGGGACAGUGACUCAGGAAAACAGGAACUUAGCAGGCGCACUCUCAGCUACGAGCAGGUGUGACAAGACACAUGUGUGUGUCUGUUUCAUCUCUACAAAUUCUUAGCUCAAAGGACUCAUUCAGACUGAGGAAAUCCAGGGUCAUUGCAGCCUCGUGGGUCUGUUGGGAACCAGUGUCAUGUGACUUCAGGUCUCACAACAGCACAGGCCAUUGGACGUGGCUGCGGGAAUAUGCCUUUUGGCUCAUACCAUGUGGGUCAUGGACAUUUUAGAGGCUUCUUAGUAUGCUUGGGGGAGGGAAUGAUCUUUAUUCAUCUACGUGUUGAUAUUAUUUUCUAAAAUGGACAAUUAAGCAGUGAAAAGUAAUUCCAGGCAACUGUAAUUAGAUUUGGGUUCAAUUUGUGUUGGGGGAGGAAGGCAUUUAUUUCUGGUUUCUCUUCUUUCAGGUUUACUGCCAGGGGGGAGGAUAAAAUUGGUACACAGUGCUGUGAUCCAGAUGAGUGGCAGCCUUUCCCAUGAAGAUGAUGAGUUUUGGGGGACCACACAAACACUGAAUGUUAAAUUCCUGCCUUCAGAUCCUAAUCACUUUAUUGUU